rnacentral:lncRNA from 1 species
UGAAUAAUGAAUAAUGAUCAAGGGGUGCCUCCUCCAGGGGCCAGGGGGUCUGGUUAUAUAGUCCCCUCAAGUGAACCUAGGCCGUCGGAUCAAACCGACAUUGAUUGAACGGUUAUUCUUGAUCCUUUAGGUCGGUGGAGAUCUCCCAAGAGAAAGAGUCCUGAUUGGGCUCCAAGUCAGGGCGGGCGCCCAGGGCAGGAGGGCGGGCGCCCUGGCUCUGGCCUCGUUCAGCCUCCGCUUCCUUCCCGUGGCUUCUGGAGUCUUCUAGAUGUAAGAUAAUUGCGCGGCACGUUAAUAUCUCUAUGUAAUCCCGACGUGUGGGCCUUUCUUCCGUAUUUCUUGAUAACCCCCUGCAGAAAUAGACAAACACCAAAACUCAUGGAAUUCUGUCAGAUAAAACCCUAAGUCUAGAUGUUAAUUUCAUUUGGAUCCUUUUCUUUGUUUAUUUGAUAAUUAAAUUUGAUACUUAAGGACCGUCAACAAACUCCCCCAAGCUUACCUCUUGCUCGUCCCUGAGCAAGGAUAGACUCAGCAAUGGAUCAGAAGUUGUUGCAAUAUCUUAAAAAUUUUGACGGUACACAUGCUUUUAAAUAAGAUCUCAUCUCUGAGUUAGAGUAAACUGUCAAGACUUAAAACUUACUUACUUUACCUUCACCAUGGGACUUGUAACUGUCACUUCUGUCUUGAGUAGUUAAAAGAUAGAACAGUCUAGCCAAGUGCCAUGUCUCUUAUUCUUGAUCAGCUAUAGCUCUGGGGUUUUUGCAGAUUUUCAAAUAAAACUCAGAGAUUCCUUGUAUGAUUCUCUCAGGUCUCUCUUUUGUGGUAUUUCUGGGUCCUUACCAAGGCAGUGAUGGUAUAUGCCUUCUCUCAAGAUAUAUGGUAUUUGUGGUAUAAGGCAUAGUGACAUUGCCUUCUCUCUCACCCUACUCUAAUAAGGCUUUAAUAUCUGGAGCUCAUAGGUGGGAGAUAAAUUAUACAUACUGACAAGACAUUUAUUAUAUAGUCAAACCAUGGAUCCAAAGAAACAAAUCAAUAAGCCAAAUCAAGAUGUGCAUGUGUGGCGAAUGAAUGGUGUAUGGUGAUGAUAUUGAUAACAAUGGUGGAAGUCUAAUUCUACUUUUGCUCUUUUGAGGGGAUACAUACCUUACUUGCUUUUUAAAACUUUAUGAGGAGAAUGAGAAGCUCUAUCUUUCAUUUUUCUUUCCUCUCAGGUGGGUAUCCUGUACCCCUAAUUCUACUGUCGGACACUUGUCCAUUUUUACCUCUCGUCUCACUCUUUUUCUUUUCUUUUGAGGUUCCGGGCACUUGCCCCUUUUUAUUUCCUCGUAUAUUUUUUUUUCUCUCCUCUUUUUUUUACAGCACUCAUCUCAUGAGAUAAUAUAGCAAGUGGUAGUAACAGUAUAACUUGAGCAUUUAUUUCACAAGGAAAAACAGAAAUAUUUUUGGUUAUUCUCUCCCGGAUUAGGAGUAGAAUAUUUUUGGGUGGUUCUGGAGAUGGAAAUGAGUGGAUAUAUGUGGAUGGUACUUCCAGAGUCGAAGUAGCAUAUAUGAGUGAAUGUGCAAGUGAAUCUUGAUUUAACCACAUGACAAGCUCCUAAGGGUCUACACAGCUUGACCACACUCAAUGCUCGUAAGCAGUAAAUAAUAAAUGUGUGGCUCAAAGUCUAGCAAGCAUGUAUAUAUGGCUGUGGUAGGAAUUUAAACUCUCAUCAUACAGGAACUCAUCAUGCAAUAUUUUAAAGAUUUUUUCAAAGAUAAAAUUCUCCAAAAUUCUAGCAUCUCUAGGAACAGAUAAACAGCAGCUCAACCUUCCCAUAUCAUAUCCGUUAACAACUUAGAUUUCAGAUCAAGUUUUCAUCCCACAAGUUUAGAUCUAGAGCAAGCUUUAAAUUAUAACAGUUAUGUCUAAACUUGAGAGAGAACUUCAAAUUUGCAAAUUAGGCAGAGCAACUAUUCAUCAUAUCCAUGCUAGAGUUUUAUUAUUAAGAUUCAGAUUAGCAUAGCCACUUUAUUUAUUUAUUUAUUAAACACACUAAGCAAAAGAUAUAUAUAUAUAAGUACAAAAUCUUUAUUUGGUUUUUCAUAGUUUAUGUAUUUUAAUAUUCUAAUAUAAUAUAAGUAUAAAGAUAGGUAGAAAUACUUAGCGAGAUAAAUGGGGGUGCUCUCCCCCAAGCUGAAUUUUGACAUAAUUUCUCUUGAUGUAGCUAGCAGGUGGCAGAGGUGUAUUUGAAAGUCAGCAGCAUUCUGACAGCGUUUAGAAUGUCCUCCGUCUGCUAGUCUUCUUGAUUCUUAAAUUAUGUGGAGCUCAAAUAGACAACAAAGCUUGUGGAACUAAUUAAGUGUUAGCAUAAAUAUCUAGCCUUCAUCAUGUUGAGCUUCCUCAAUAAAUAUUACUCCCUGUUUUUAUAUUUUUAUUUUAUAAAGCAGAAAAGAAAUAUUUAUUUUAUUUUUAUGCCACCACAGUGAAGGUACUUAUGGGUUUUAUGCCACUCGUGUACUCACAUGGGGCUUAGUAUUUUUUAACAUUUUUAUUUUCUUUUCAAGAUAGCAUGAUUAAUUAAUAAUCUAUUUAAGGAAAGUAAAUAAUUAAAGGGAAAAGGGAAUGCAGAAAGGAUAAAUAUGGAUAACUACCAAUCUUACCUUUCGGCGAGGGUUCAACAUUUUAUGUCUUCUUAAGAAGACUUCUCACCGUGUUCAUUCUUCAGGUGCGUCAGUUGAUUCAGGUGCGGACCUUGACGUCUGCACCUCUUUGUUUGCCCAGCAGUGGUGUUGGCAGUAUCCAGCUUAGUGUGUUUGUGCUCGUAGAUCCAGGUCCUUCACUUGGUAGAGUCUGAGAGUUAUAAAACUCUUCCGUGUUUUGCUCGAAGUGUACCUGCUCAUAGAGACAAGACAGAGAUCAAGUGCAUGGGUCCUGUUGGUGGAAAACACCAACAGAACCUAAAGUGUAUUUGUUCUUCUCUAACCCUAAGCAUAGUGAGCAAGACAAAGUUGAUGGAUAAUAAGUUCAUGAGUGUAGCACUUAUAACAUUUGUCAGAUCAGAUCGC